rnacentral:rRNA from 1 species
AUUGAACGCUGGCGGCAUGCUUUACACAUGCAAGUCGAACGGUAACAGGGUGCUUGCACCGCUGACGAGUGGCGAACGGGUGAGUAAUGCGUCGGAACGUGCCGAGUAGUGGGGGAUAACGCAUCGAAAGGUGUGCUAAUACCGCAUACGUACUGAGGUAGAAAGUGGGGGACCUUCGGGCCUCACGCUAUUCGAGCGGCCGACGUCUGAUUAGCUAGUUGGUGAGGUAAAGGCUCACCAAGGCGACGAUCAGUAGCGGGUCUGAGAGGAUGAUCCGCCACACUGGGACUGGGCCACGGCCCAGACUCCUACGGGAGGCAGCAGUGGGGAAUUUUGGACAAUGGGCGCAAGCCUGAUCCAGCCAUGCCGCGUGUCUGAAGAAGGCCUUCGGGUUGUAAAGGACUUUUGUCCGGGAGCAAAUACCCAGUGCUAAUAACGCUGGGGGCUGAGAGUACCGGAAGAAUAAGCACCGGCUAACUACGUGCCAGCAGCCGCCGUAAGAC